rnacentral:rRNA from 1 species
UACAAAAAUUAUUUUUAUUCUAAGUUUUAUUCUCAGAUUCUAUCUGAAGGGUUUGCGAUCGUUGUGGAAAUCCCAUUCUCGCUACGGGAAUUAUUUUGUCCGAAAGAAAAAGAAAUACCAAAGUUUCAGAAUUUACGCUCUAUUCGUUACUAA